GGGCCGCGGUAAUUUGACUGUGCAAAGGUAGCGUAGUAGUUAGUUUUUUAAUUGAGAUCUUGUAUGAAUGGUUGGACAAAAGAAAUACUGUCUCUAAAAUUAUUAUUGAAUUUAACUUUUAAGUGAAAAGGCUUAAAUUAUUUAAGAAGACGAUAAGACCCUAUAAAGCUUAAUAAGUAAAUUUACUAUGGUGAGGUAUUAAUAAUAUUUUAGUGAGUUAAAUUAUUUUGUUGGGGAGACAAUAUUAUAAUUAAUAGUAACUGUUAAUAAAUAACACAUUAAUAUAUGUAUAUUAAAAAUAGAAGAUCCUAAAUAAAGAUUAGAAGUUUAAGUUACUUUAGGGAUAACAGCGUUAUUUUUUUUAAGAGUUCAUAUCGAAAAAAGAGAUUGCGACCUCGAUGUUGAAUUAAAAAUUCUAAAUGAUUGUAGCAGUUAUUUGAGAAGGUCUGUUCGACCUUUAAAUUUUUA
rnacentral:rRNA from 1 species